AACAAUUUCAAUUAGCAAAAGAAUAAUAAAAAGAAAGAAAGAAAAAUCAAAUCAACGACGAAAAGAAAAAAAAAAUCAAUUCAAAUUUGGUGGGUCACUCAAAUUUAUUUCGGUGUCUUCUUCAUGUGGUUGGUACUCUAGAUAUGGCUUUAAUCUUUGACCAUUAACUUUAAACGUGACACCAUUCUUUGGGUCCUUAAUUUCAAUUGCCCCAUGUGGAAAAACAGUAUGAACAAUAAAUGGGC
rnacentral:lncRNA from 1 species